CUCGAACUUCUGUUAGGAGAUCAUUGUAAUAUCCACUCCAAAACAUAGGUAAAAGGAAACAAAUCUCAGCAUUAUUCAUUCUAUUAUUGUCAAUUCACAAACUAGAAAACCAAAUACAAUCCUGAUUAAAACAAUUUAAACAUAUUUGGUGUGCCGUAGUUAACAGAAAUAGACAGUAAUUCAUACUACUGUCUAGCCCUAUCUAAUCCCCCCACCAGACGUGCCAAUAUCGAAUGUAGAACUUGUUUUCGACCCUAUGUAACUAUGACACAAUGCGACGACUAAUUGGCCAUGGAAACACUUUUCCAUUUGUCCGUAGUCGUAGAGAUAUAAACAGAAGCUUUCUGGUCAAUUCCAGGCUCAGCCACCCACUGGCCUCUAUCUUCAUCACUAGGCCAUACUUUGUAAGCCUUCAAAGAAUCAUCCCAUGUACUUUCCCACUUUGACGUCCUCGAGCUUUUGCCUUUGAAGAUGUUGAAGAGGGAAAAAGAAGGUGAUGAAGAUUUCUUCUGCCUGUUGUUUCCAGCCAUAUUUUCUUUCCUUUUUCUGUCUGUUUUUUCAGGAAAUGGACAGACAAGGCAACCUUCGAGUAUUUCUGCACAAGGAAUUGAGGUGUUAGUGUGUGUAUGUAUGUGUUUCUU
rnacentral:lncRNA from 1 species